rnacentral:lncRNA from 1 species
GGGGUCGGAGCACGUUCGCCGACGUUCACGCGCCGCCGGGGCCGAAGCAGAGGGAGCGCGACCACCUCGGCGACGGCCAGCCGCCGACGUGCAGCCACCGGCGAACCCCCCCUCUCCCACCCUCCCUACUUUCCGCCGGUGAAGGGUUGGUCCGAGGUCUCAGCACGUUUGCCACUGUUCACGUGCCGGACCAAAUCAGAGGAGGGUGACUACCUCAGGAACGGUCGAUCGGCGUCUAUUGGCUUCCCUCCAGUGAAGGAAAUGGUAGAGAUGGACAACAAGUAUUUCCAGUCUCUAUUUAUGAAGCAACAUGAGAUAUGGAAUUUUAGUUCAUACAUUUGCAUGGAUCAGGAAGAGCAUGUAAUUUGUGGCAUAGAGGAUGCCCGUCGCCUCGUGGGCCUUCCACCCCCAAUCCAUAUCACGAUGACAGAGUGUCUGGUAAAGGACGCGGGAGAGGUGCUGAAGCUACUUGAUGAGAACAUUACCAGUGGGAGAUGGACUGUCUCAGAUGAGACUGUAGCCCUCCUCAGGGUUCUUGCAGAAGGUUGUGAGGAUCUGAUGUAUGCUAAGAAGGAAUUAACUGACACUGUCAAGGCUGCACAGGAUGACCUGAUCACGUUGGGAGGCAACACCCUAUCAGUGGAGGAACAGCUUUUGCUGCCAGAGAAAGAAGAUCGUCGUAUUUUGGUUCUCCGUGCACUUAACCUUCCACCGGACAGCAAGCCAUCUCGGAGCUUUGACGUGGAGAACAUCGAUGCCGUGCUUGCUGCGCGUGGUCGGCUCCGUGGUCAGAUUGUACAGGCCCGAGCAGACAUGGAGGGUCUGAGGCAGUACAUCACGGAGACGUGGUUGCCGUGGGUAGAGCAGCGGUUGAACACUCAUCUCACCCUGGGAGAGCCAGUUAUGCCGUAGAGUGAUUCCUUCACAGUGUUGUUUUGAGUCUUCAUCAUGAAACUUGUUGCCUUUAGCUUACUGAUGUCUCCGUAUAUGUGCCUCUUCUAAACUGUAGUUUCCAGAAUCUGCAUGUCCCAGGAUUGACUAGUAACCACUUAUUUCCUGAAUCUGCAUGUCCCAGCAGGAUAACUAAGUUGUUGGUACUGCCAUGUUAAUUUGUUGUUUUGGAUGCUACUUUCCCCCAGAUAUUUCUGUUAUCCACUGUAAUAUAUUCACUCACCUUUAUAGC